GGGAAAUCAGUACUGUGCUCUCUUCU
rnacentral:piRNA from 1 species